UCAUGAGGGUGGAGCCCCAUGAAGGGCUUAGUGUCUUUAUAAGAUUCCUUCAGAGAGUUUCUUCCUCCACUAACAAUGUGAAGACAUAAUGAAAAGAAGACUGAAACAGGACGCCAGCCCUCACCAAGCCGCAGUGAAAAGACAAACAAGAGAGUCACGAUGGAUGUCACAAACUCCUGAUUGACACUGGAGAAUGACAGAAGUGGAGAGUCACGAUGGAUGUCACAGACUCCUGAUUGACACUGGAGAAUGACAGAAGUGGAGAGUCACGAUGGAUGUCACAGACUCCUGAUUGACAUUGGUGAAUAACAGAAAUGGAGACGCUUCUCUGCUAAUGGAGCCUAAGCCCCAGGAAAGUGUAGCUGAUGCCCAGAGAGAGUGGCCCUUGCACAGGACAUAUGGUAUAAAUAACCCAUUGACCAAGAUGGACUUCCUCUUAGAUCAGUCUUCUGAUACUGGCACUGAGAUAGGUCCCAGGGGGUAAGUUAGUUAGGAUACAUUGACAUCCCUGUAGUCUGUCUUCAGCACUUUGAUGGCCUGUUGGGGGCUGGCUGCUCAAUGCUCAGAGUUGGCCUCUCAUGAGUGUGUGACGGGUGCUGACUUCCACCUUCCACUGCUUGCCCAGUCCACUGAACAGACACUCAGUAAAUGCUUGUGGCAGGAAUGAAUAAAUGGCCUCAGCCACGCAUCCAAAA